UACGAAGGGGGCUAGCGUUGCUCGGAAUCACUGGGCGUAAAGCGUGCGUAGACGGCUCUCUCAGUCGGUUGUGAAAGCCCCGGGCUCAACCUGGGAAUUGCAUUCGAGACUGAAUAGCUAGGGUACGGUAGAGGGAAGCGGAAUUUCCGGUGUAGCGGUGAAAUGCGUAGAUAUCGGAAGGAACAUCAGUGGCGAAAGCGGCUUCCUGGACCAGUACCGACGUUCAGGCACGAAAGCGUGGGGAGCAAACAGG
rnacentral:rRNA from 1 species